CGCCUUUUCUUUUUUUCUAGCAGGGCGCGACGCAGAUUGAGGAUUCCCAGGUAUGUUUUCUGUUAAGACCUUUGUGUAUGUCUAAUUGGCCUUUUCUUUUUUCUGGCAGGGCGCGACGCAGAUUGAGGAUUCCCAGGUAUGUUUUCUGUUAAGACCUUUGUGUAUGUCUAAUUGCGCCUUUUCUUUUUUUCUAGCAGGGCGCGACGCAGAUUGAGGAUUUCAGGUAUGUUUUCUGUUAAGACCUUUGUGUAUGUCUAAUGUUGCCUUUUCUUUUUUUCUGGCAGGGCGCGACGCAGAUUGAGGAUUUUCAGGUAUGUUAUCUGUUAAGACCUUGGUGUACGUCUAAUGUUGCCUUUUCUUUUUUUCUGGCAGGGCGCGACACAGAUUGGAGAUUCGCAGGUAUGUUUUCCGUUAAGGCCUUUGUGUAUGUCUAAUGUCGCCUUUUCCUUUUUUCUAGCAGGGCGAGACGCAGAUUGAGGAUUUUCAGGUAUGUUUUCUGGUAAGGCCUUUGUGUAUGUCUAAUGUCGCCUUUUCUUUUUUUCUAGCAGGGCGCGACGCAGAUUGAGGAUUUUCAGGUAUGUUUUCUGUUAAGACCUUUGUGUAUGUUUAAUGUUGCCUUUUCUUUUUUUCUGGCAGGGCACGACGCAGAUUGAGGAUUUUCAGGUAUGUUUUCUGUUAAGGUUUUUGUGUAUGUCUAAUGUCGCCUUUUCUUUUUCUGGCAGGGCGCGACGCAGAUUAAGGAAUUCCAGGUAUGUUUUCUGUUAAGAUCUUUGUGUAUGUCUAAUGUUGUCUUUUCUUUUUUUCUGGCAGGGCGCGACGCAGAUUGGAGAUUCGCAGGUAUGUUUUCUGUUAAGACCUUUGUGUAUGUCUAAAGUUGCUUUUCUUUUUUUCUAGCAGGGCGCGACGCAGAUUGAGGAUUCCAGGUAUGUUUUCUGUUAAGACCUUUGUGUAUGUCUAAUGGUUUCUUUUUUUUUUCCUUUAGGUCGUGUGGCCUUUUUUUUUUUUUGCAGGGCGCGCGACGCAGAUUGAGGAUUCCAGGUAUGUUUUUCUGUUAAGACCUUUGUGUAUGUCUAAUGUGCGCCUUUUCUUUUUUUCUAGCAGGGCGCGACGCAGAUUGAGGAUUCCAGGUAUGUUUUCUGUUAAGACCUUUGUGUAUGUCUAAUGUUGUCUUUUCUUUUUUUCUAGCAGGUCGCGACGCAGAUUGAGGAAUUCCAGGUAUGUUUUCUGUUAAGACCUUUGUGUAUGUCUAAUGUUGUCUUUUCUUUUUUUUCUAGCAGGGCGCGACGCAGAUUGAGGAUUUUCAGGUAUGUUUUCUGUUAAGA
rnacentral:lncRNA from 1 species